AACGUAGGGCCCGAGCGUUGUCCGGAAUCACUGGGUGUAAAGGGUGCGUAGGCGGGCGUGCGCGUCUGGGGUGAAAGGCUCCGGCUCAACCGGAGACAUGCCCUGGGUACGGCACGUCUUGGGUGCGGGAGAGGGCGAUGGAAUUCCUGGUGUAGCGGUGAAAUGCGUAGAUAUCAGGAGGAACACCGGUGGCGAAGGCGGUCGCCUGGCCCGCAACCGACGCUGAGGCACGAAAGCGUGGGGAGCAAACAGGAUUAGAAACCCGAGUAGU
rnacentral:rRNA from 1 species